GUUGCCAGGCUAUGGAUUUCGUUGACUCUAGAACUGAAGUCAUAGAUAAAGUAGGGCAUAAAGUCUACAGAACCUCAAGGGGAUAUGGAGGGAGAAAUACUGACCAGAAAUAGAUAAAGGAAAAAUAAGGCAGCUGUAUGCAUCAAGAAAUGGCAUGGAACAGAGUGGAGGAGCUGUUUCUGACAGCUGCAGUUUUAUCUUGGAAAGAGGGGGAGGAAGGAUGACUAGGGAGUAAGGGGGAGUAAUAGAAGCAAUGCUUACAGCUGCAGCACUGGAGGCAGGACCUGUGUAUUUCUUUGACCAGAUGGAAACUAGAACUAAAGAGAAAGGCAAGAAGAUACCAUAAUUCUCUUCAUAUUUCACUGCAGAUCUUCCCGCUGGCUUUACUCCCAGCCCAAUUGAAGGCAGGAGUGCCAUCUGUACAGAUGAGUAUAAAAAAGGCAUGAAGACAGUUUCUUAAACAAUAAAAUGACAAGAAAACAAAAACCCACUCAGUUUUGUGAUGUGUCUUGUCACUCCAUGUGUAAAACCACUACAGAGGACUCAAACCCAAAGAUCUCCCAAACAUCUUUGAUCCCACAAGUGGAUGAGGACUCACCACUGAACAUGUUGAAUAAAUCUGUGGCUGACAAAACGUUACAGGAACUUGGGAGAGAAGUUGUAGCUGCUUGCUAGGAAUGAGACUGGUUUCCCUCAGAGGCUUGUGAAUGUGCUAACCUGUAGCUGGAGGGAACUUGCUGAGCAGGUUGAUUACCAUAAAUGGCACCAGAAGUCACUAGUGUAAAAAAGUAUGAGAUCCAGGAGAAAACAAGCCUCUGCUCUACCAGCCUGCACUAGAGAGGAAAAAAGAAAACCUGAGAAAGCAUCAAACAUGCCUUUAGGAAGUAAAGGUAACAUUGUGCUGGGUAAAUGUGCUGUGUUGUAAUGUUUGUCCACAAAAGGGAAAAAAGCACUUUCUGUUAAGACUACUCUCUGUUGUCUGGGUAGGCCACAUGCUUCACUUUAUAGCUUGUUAUACUGCAGCUCUCUGCAAAGCAUUGUUUUAAGACAUGAUGAAAUAGCGUUCCAGCUGAAGCAAGAGGUAAAAACACUUAGAAGAACAAAGCCGGUGAAACUGGGCAGUGUUUCAAACCAUUUAGCAAAGCAUUUUUAGUCUCCUCAUUCAAGGUGAGUGAUAGUCAGAACAUAUUGCACCAGUGAAAAAAACUUGCAUCCAGACCAUUUCGUUAAGCAAGUGUCAUUAAUCCUCAGUGCAGAACCGUAGGUUUGAGUCAAGCCUUUUUCAGGUGUCCAGGUGCUACUGCAGUCUCCCUCUUUAAAAAAAAAAAAAAAGAAUAAUCUUUGGGUUUAUGUUUUUGAAAGCUGACUUACAUUUGCAUGUAUGAUCAUAAGCAUUGCACUCUGCUUUCUUCCUGUCUAGCUCCUACUGUACAAAAUGAUGCUGGCCAGUCACCCAUCACAAUCAACUCCUCACUGUCAUCCAGCAUUUGUGAGGAAAGAGGUGAGAGUAGCAGGCAGCUGAUCUGGAUGGCUUGUAGCAGAGGUGGUUAGAAUGAUGCAGUACCUUGAUAGCUGUUCUGAAUGCCGGAAUUAACUAAAGUAUGCAUUAACAUCAGGAGGAAGUAACUGUCAAGCAAUAACCCCCCUUGAGUUUGGAUGCAAUCUGGUUUUAAAUGCCCAGUCUUUCUCUGAUUAUCUCUGAUCGUCUGCUAACAAGGUUUUCUACAUAGCCACUGCAGGUCCACUAGUCUUUGCUAGCAGAACACAGGGUGAAUAACUGCUUUGGGUUAUUAUUUUAAGCCUUUCCCUGCUGGAAACUGUCUGACUACGUAUAUUUGACUUAAUAAAUUUUGCUCUGAAUGGGAACAUUAAUGCACUAACUGAAAAGUUCUUCAUAAGGCAUUAUACCAGUUCUGCCUAAAACAUGGACAAAUUUGAUGAUCUAAAGGGAAGAACUGCUUACUUUGCACCUCUUUUUGGAUUUCUUUAAGAACAUUGCCA